AGAGUUGAUCAUGGCUCAGAACGAACGCUGGCGGCGUGCCUAACACAUGCAAGUCGAACGCGAAAGACAGUAAUGUCGAGUAGAGUGGCGCACGGGUGCAUAACACGUAACUGACCUGUCCUCGAAACUGGGAUAACCAUUCGAAAGGAUGGCUAAUACUGGAUAAGCCCACGGGUUUGGACCUGGGGGAAAAGGUACGGGACUAUUCGUAGCCGUACAUUUGAGGAGGGGGUUGCGGCCAUCAGCUAGUUGGCGGGUAAAAGCCCACCAAGCGAAGACGGGUAGCUGGUCUGAGAGGGUGAUCAGCCACACUGGAACUGAGACACGGUCCAGACUCCUACAGGAGGCAGCAGUGGGGAAUCUUGCGCAAUGGGAGCAAUCCUGACGCAGCAACGCCGCGUGGGUGAUGAAGGUCUUCGGAUCGUAAAGCCCUGUCGGAGGGGAAGAUGCUUGUGCAUGUAAUAGUAUGCACAGGUGACGGUACCCUCAAAGGAGCACCGGCUAACUCUGUGCCAGCAGCCGCGGUAAUACAGAGGGUGCAAGCGUUGUUCGGAAUUAUUGGGCGUAAAGGGAGUGUAGGCGGCUAGGAAAGUCUUCUGUGAAAUCUACGGGCUUACCCUGUAACGUGCAGAGGAAACUAUCUGGCUAGAGUGUCGGAGAGGAUAGGGGAAUACCCAGUGUAGAGGUGAAAUUCGUAGAGAUGGGUGGAACACAGUGGCGAGCGCUGUCUGGCUGACACUGACGCUGAGACUCG
rnacentral:rRNA from 1 species